rnacentral:rRNA from 1 species
CGGGGAGGCGGUUUCGGCCGCCUCCGCCGGCGACCGGCGCACGGGUGAGUAACACGUAUACAACCUGGCCCGCGGACGGGGACAACCCGGGGAAACCCGGACUAAUACCCGGCGGGGCCUGGAGGGGGCAUCCCCUCCCGGCUGAAGGAGGCGACUCCGCCGCGGGAUGGGCAUGCGGCGCAUUAGCUUGUUGGCGGGGCAACGGCCCACCAAGGCGACGAUGCGUAGGGGUUCUGAGAGGAAGGUCCCCCACCACUGGAACUGAGACACGGUCCAAACUCCUACGGAAGGCAGCAG